AAGAAACUGGCAGAUUAUCUGAAAGUGCUUAUAGACAAUAAACAUCUCUUAAGCGAGUUCUAUGAGCCUGAGGCUUUAAUGAUGGAGGAAGAAGGGAUGGUGAUUGUUGGUCUGCUGGUGGGACUCAAUGUUCUCGAUGCCAAUCUCUGCUUGAAAGGAGAAGACUUGGAUUCUCAGGUUGGAGUAAUAGAUUUUUCCCUCUACCUUAAGGAUGUGCAGGAUCUUGAUGGUGGCAAGGAGCAUGAAAGAAUUACUGAUGUCCUUGAUCAAAAAAAUUAUGUGGAAGAACUUAACCGGCACUUGAGCUGCACAGUUGGGGAUCUUCAAACCAAGAUAGAUGGCUUGGAAAAGACUAACUCAAAGCUUCAAGAAGAGCUUUCAGCUGCAACAGACCGAAUUUGCUCACUUCAAGAAGAACAGCAGCAGUUAAGAGAACAAAAUGAAUUAAUUCGAGAAAGAAGUGAAAAGAGUGUAGAGAGUCUUGCUGUCACCCAGGCUGGAAUGUAGUGGCGUGAUCUUAGCUCACUGCAACCUCCACCUCCCGGAUUCAAGCGAUUUUCCUGCCUCAGCCUCCC
rnacentral:misc_RNA from 1 species